rnacentral:rRNA from 1 species
GACGAACGCUGGCGGCGUGCUUAACACAUGCAAGUCGAACGGAAAGGCCCUGCUUUUGUGGGGUGCUCGAGUGGCGAACGGGUGAGUAACACGUGAGUAACCUGCCCUUGACUUUGGGAUAACUUCAGGAAACUGGGGCUAAUACCGGAUAGGAGCUCCUGCUGCAUGGUGGGGGUUGGAAAGUUUCGGCGGUUGGGAAUGGAAUCGCGGCUUAUCAGCGUGUUGGUGGGGUAGUGGCUUACCAAGGCUUUGACGGGUAGCCUGCCUGAGAAGGUGACCGGCCACAGUGGAACGCAGAGACGACCCAGAAGACAACGGGAGCCAGCGGAGGGGAAAAUGGCACAAUGGGCGGACGCCGGAGGCAGCAGUGCCGCGUGCGGGAUGCCGCUCGUCGGGUUGUAACCCGCUGUCUCCUGUGAGGGAGCGUGAGUGACGGUAAUGGGUAAAGAAGCACCGGCUAACUACGUG